UGGGAACCUUCCCUAUGGUUCGGAAUAGCUCAGGGAAACUUGAGGUAAUACCGGAUAAGCCCUUCGGGGAAAGAUUUAUCGCCAUUGGAUGGGCCCGCGUCGGAUUAGCUAGUUGGUGAGGUAACGGCCCACCAAGGCAACGAUCCGUAGCUGGUCUGAGAGGAUGAUCAGCCACACUGGGACUGAGACACGGCCCAGACUCCUACGGGAGGCAG
rnacentral:rRNA from 1 species